GGUGAGCCAAGCCCUUUCUUCCUGUUCCUCCUGCUCAGGUUGAGGCUUCACUUUCCAUGGAGAGAGGCCCCUUCCUGCACCCUGGGGAGGGAGGCUGUCCACAGGUAGGGCCAGGCCCGGUCAGUGGUGCAUGGCCUGAGUAGGGUGGGGGGGCACGGGACCCCUGGAAGGUGAGAGACCAAGAGCCUUAGCUGGUCUGGGGGCUGGUGUGGGGGCGAGCAGAGCCAGUCCCGCCCUUCCCAGCAAGUGAGGACGACCAUGACCUGGUUCCUGGAAGGCGGAACAAGGAGUGGCGGGAUUUCUGCAGGUGUGACCGGGGUUUCUAAUCAGGUGACUUGGCGUUCAUCAGAAGGGAGGUUGAUCUGGCCGAGCCUGGCUAGCUCAGGUGCACCCUUUAAGAGGCUGGAAGCCACAGAGCCGCCCCCUCCUGAUGCCAAAGAAGCAUAUGGCCAUCGGCUCCACAGCUGCGAGAAAGAUUAUGCACACAACGACAUGCGCUCAGGAGGGGACCUCGCGCCUCGGUUGAGAUCCCAGCCCUGGCUGACACCUUGAGUGCAGCCUGUGAGACCCUGAGCAGAGGUUCAGCAGUCCCCUCCCCGGACUCCUGCCACACAGAAGCCAUGAGGUAAGUGGGUGUUGUUUCGAGAUGAUAAAUUACUAGUGAUUUGUUCUGCAGCAAUUGUGUGCUGGAGCGCAGAGGGGCUGGCAGGAUGGGGGGUGGUGAGGGGCGAGGCUCAUUAGGCAGGUUGUGGACCCCCAAAGGCUGCAGUGAUAGCCCGCUCAGGUCCAACACCCUCCUCGUCAGUGGGGGCCUGGUAGGCCCUGUGCACAAAAUGGCCCCGGCUACGGUUAAGUGCCUCCAGCUGGGCCCAUUCCUCUGGGGCUUCAGUAUGGGGAAGGGGGUGAUUGGCCUCCUUCCUCGGCAGCCGGAUGUGUUCUGUUGGCCACGCAGGCCGGGAAGCAGAGCAGGUGGCUGGAGGGCCGGUGGAACGGGUAUCUGGAGGCAACCGUGGCUGGUGCUAGCAGCCUGAGGCCAGGGACUCUCAUACCCUCUGUCUCCUGAGAACCCCCUUGGGUACGUCUGGCUUCUGGUCCUUGAACCAGGUAGUCGCACCUGAUGGGAAAAACAGGGCGAGUACACCUGGGGCAGGUGUUAUGCGCUUCGAUUUCCACUUUUAGAGCCAGGAGCGGUGGCUCACACCUGUAAUCCCACCAUUUUGGGAGGCUGAGGCGGUGGAUCUUUUGAGCUCAGGAGUUUGA
rnacentral:lncRNA from 1 species